rnacentral:rRNA from 2 species
UACGGAGGGUGCAAGCGUUAUCCGGAUUCACUGGGUUUAAAGGGUGCGUAGGAGGGCAGGUAAGUCAGUGGUGAAAUCUCCAAGCUUAACUUGGAAACUGCCGUUGAUACUAUCUGUCUUGAAUACCGUGGAGGUGAGCGGAAUAUGUCAUGUAGCGGUGAAAUGCUUAGAUAUGACAUAGAACACCAAUUGCGAAGGCAGCUCGCUACACGAAUAUUGACUCUGAGGCACGAAAGCGUGGGGAUCAAACAGG